rnacentral:sRNA from 1 species
GCAAACUUACCAUUGCCGCGACAUCCUUUUUUUUGCAUGGGGAUAAGAACGGGUAAAAAAGAUACAGCAGAAAGCGGGAAUAGCU